rnacentral:rRNA from 1 species
UUGAACGCUGGCGGCAUGCUUUACACAUGCAAGUCGAACGGUAACAGGCCGCAAGGUGCUGACGAGUGGCGAACGGGUGAGUAAUGCAUCGGAACGUGCCCAGUCGUGGGGGAUAACUACUCGAAAGAGUAGCUAAUACCGCAUACGAUCUAUGGAUGAAAGCGGGGGACCGUAAGGCCUCGCGCGAUUGGAGCGGCCGAUGUCAGAUUAGGUAGUUGGUGGGGUAAAGGCUCACCAAGCCAACGAUCUGUAGCUGGUCUGAGAGGACAACCAGCCACACUGGGACUGAGACACGGCCCAGACUCCUACGGGAGGCAGCAGUGGGGAAUUUUGGACAAUGGGUGCAAGCCUGAUCCAGCAAUGCCGCGUGCAGGAAGAAGGCCUUCGGGUUGUAAACUGCUUUUGUACGGAACGAAACGGCUCUGGUUAAUACCCGGGGCUAAUGACGGUACCGUAAGAAUAAGCACCGGCUAACUACGUG